AUUGAACGCUGGCGGCAGGCCUAACACAUGCAAGUCGAGCGGGGUUUUCGGACCUAGCGGCGGACGGGUGAGUAAUGCGUAGGAAGCUACCCGAUAGAGGGGGAUACCAGUUGGAAACGACUGUUAAUACCGCAUAAUGUCUACGGACCAAAGUGUGGGACCUUCGGGCCACAUGCUAUCGGAUGCGCCUACGUGGGAUUAGCUAGUUGGUGAGGUAAGGGCUCGCCAAGGCGACGAUCCCUAGCUGGUUUGAGAGGAUGAUCAGCCACACUGGAACUGAGACACGGUCCAGACUCCUACGGGAGGCAGCAGUGGGGAAUAUUGGACAAUGGGCGCAAGCCUGAUCCAGCCAUGCCGCGUGUGUGAAGAAGGCCUUCGGGUUGUAAAGCACUUUCAGUAGGGAGGAAGCGUUGUGUGUUAAUAGUACACAGCGUUGACGUUACCUACAGAAGAAGCACCGGCUAACUCUGUGCCAGCCGCCGCCGUAAUAC
rnacentral:rRNA from 1 species